GGAUUAGGCAUGCAAGUCGAGCGGAAGUAGCAAUACUUUAGCGGCGAAAGGGACAGUAAUACGUNAGAUACGUACCCUCUGGNACUGGGAUAGCCACGGGAAACUGUGGGUAAUACCAGAUAACGUCUCCGGACCAAAGGUGUGAGUCCGCCGGAGGAGCGGUCUGCGUCCUAUUAGCUUGUUGGUGAGGUAAUGGCUCACCAAGGCUUUGAUGGGUAGCGGGUGUGAGAGCACGACCCGCGUCAUUGGGACUGAGAUACUGCCCAGACACCUACGGGUGGCUGCAGUCGAGGAUCUUCGGCAAUGGGCGCAAGCCUGACCGAGCGACGCCGCGUGUGGGAUGAAGGCUUUCGGGUUGUAAACCACUGUCAGUGGGGAGGAAAUUUAGGUGGGUACUCCCAUCUAAUUGACCUAUCCGCAGAGGAAGCAAGGGCUAAGUUCGUGCCAGCAGCCGCGGUAAGACGAACCUUGCUAACGUUAUUCGGAAUUACUGGGCUUAAAGGGUGCGUAGGCGGUGCAGCAAGUCGGGUGUGAAAGCCCUCAGCUCAGCCGGGGAACAGCGCUUGAAACUAGGUCGCUCGAGUGAGGCAGGGGUGCAUGGAACUUCCGGUGGAGCGGUGAAAUGCGUUGAUAUCAUCAGGAACACCGGUGGCGAAGGCGGCUUUCUGGGUCUUACCUGACGCUGAGGAACGAAAGCCAGGGGAGCGAACGGGAUUAGAUACCCCGGUAGUCCUGGCCGUAAACGAUGAGCACUAGGUCGUGGGCCUCCACAGGCCCUCGGCCGUAGCGAAAGUGUUAAGUGCUCCGCCUGGGGAGUAUGGUCGCAAGGC
rnacentral:rRNA from 1 species